CAGAGUUAUCUAACUCCCAAACCCAUGUGAACUUACCAUUUGUUGCCUCGGCAGAGCCUACCCGGUAACUGUUCGGAGAAGCUACCCUGUAGCUACCCUGUAACGGCCUACCCUGUAACGUCCUGCCGGUGGACUUUUAAACUCUUUUGAAAUCAGUAUUAAACCGUCUGACCGCGCAGUCGAAUGACUAUA
rnacentral:misc_RNA from 1 species